rnacentral:rRNA from 1 species
GAGUUUGAUUAUGGCUCAGGAUGAACGCUGGCGGCGUGCCUAACACAUGCAAGUUGAGCGAGAAAUCACUUAAAUAAGCUUCGGUAGACUUAAGAGAUGGAGAGCAGCGGACGGGUGAGUAACGCGUGGGAAACCUGCCCUUGACAGGAGGAUAGCCGAGAGAGAUUUCGAUUAAUACUUCAUAAAGCAGAGCAUUCGCAUGGAUGAACUGCCAAAGAAUUAUCGGUCAAGGAUGGUCCCGCGUCUGAUUAGCUGGUUGGUAAGGUAGCGGCUUACCAAGGCGACGAUCAGUAGCCGGCCUGAGAGGGUGAACGGCCACAUUGGAACUGAGACACGGUCCAGACUCCUACGGGAGGCAGCAGUGGGGAAUAUUGCACAAUGGGCGAAAGCCUGAUGCAGCAACGCCGCGUGAAGGAAGAAGGCUUUCGAGUCGUAAACUUCUGUCCAAAGGGAAGAAUAAUGACG